CGCACAAGCGGUGGAGCAUGUGGUUUAAUUCGAUGCAACGCGAAGAACCUUACCUGGUCUUGACAUCCACAGAACUUUCCAGAGAUGGAUUGGUGCCUUCGGGAACUGUGAGGCAGGUGCUGCAUGGCUGUCGUCAGCUCGUGUUGUGAAAUGUUGGGUUAAGUCCCGCAACGAGCGCAACCCUUAUCUUUUGUUGCCAGCGGUCCGGCCGGGAACUCAAAGGAGACUGCCAGUGAUAAACUGGAGGAAGGUGGGGAUGACGUCAAGUCAUCAUGGCCCUUACGACCAGGGCUACACACGUGCUACAAUGGCGCAUACAAAGAGAAGCGACCUCGCGAGAGCAAGCGGACCUCAUAAAGUGCGUCGUAGUCCGGAUUGGAGUCUGCAACUCGACUCCAUGAAGUCGGAAUCGCUAGUAAUCGUGGAUCAGAAUGCCACGGUGAAUACGUUCCCGGGCCUUGUACACACCGCCCGUCACACCAUGGGAGUGGGUUGCAAAAAGAAGUAGGUAGCUUAACC
rnacentral:rRNA from 1 species